UUACGACAGUGGUAGGUUACAAAGGUAGCCGCUUCUCCUGGUUCGGGGGAGAAACCGGUCGAAGGGAGAUGUAAAUACAGACAGAGUCAGGAAAACAUGCAAGAGAAGAGAUACGACUGUGCCUUGAAAAAACCUUCUCGGUUGGACGAUGGAAGAACUGGGAAAGAAGCCAUCCACCUGCAUCCCUGAUCCCUGGACCGGUCCUCCAGGGAGUGAGACCCUCCUCUGGAAACUCAAAGACUGCUUCUCCUCCUUUGAGAAGGCCAACUCCAGCUUCACCCAACAACAAAACAUGGAGGGCAGGACGACUGUGCUGGAGCUCAGAGACGUCCCCCCCCCUCCCCAUCACGUGUC